GAUGAAGAACGUAGCGAAAUGCGAUAAGUAAUGUGAAUUGCAGAAUUUAGUGAAUCAUCGAAUCUUUGAACGCACAUUGCGCCCUUUGGUAUUCCGAAGGGCAUGCCUGUUCGAGCGUCAUUAUAACCACUCAAGCCUUUGCUUGGUAUUGGGGUUCGCGGUCUCGCGGCCCCUAAAAUCAGUGGCGGUGCCUGUCGGCUCUACGCGUAGUAAUACUCCUCGCGAUUGAGACCGGUGGGUAGCUUGCCAACAACCCUAAUUUUCUCAGGUUGAUCUCGGAUCAGGUAGGGAUACCCGCUGAACUUAAGCAUAUCAAUAAGCGGAGGA
rnacentral:misc_RNA from 1 species